UGCUAUGUGGGAUGUCACCCUGCAGCCCAAGACCGGUUACUCACUGAAGCUAAGCAGGGCUGAGCCUGGUCAGUACCUGGAUGGAGACCACUAGGGAACACUAGGUUGCUGUUGUAA
rfam:Danio rerio chromosome 10, GRCz11 reference primary assembly.